CAUUCUAUGUACAUAAUGCACCCGACCAAUCGGCGCAACCAUCUAACCAGGCGCGCAACCACUUCCUCUUCCGAAGCUUCCCAAGCCGAACCGCUUCUGCGCCCCGCGCGCCUGGACCAGAUCCACCCUGGCAUUUAACUCCCCGUAGGGGGCCCACCCACUCCCCUGCAGUUUCAAUUCUUGUUCCCAUUUCUUUUCCGCCCCUUCCCGCUCCAUUACUCUCCCUUGCUUGCUGUGCGCGCUCGCAGGAUUCUGCC
rnacentral:lncRNA from 1 species